AACUGCCAGAGGGUCAGCGUUGGGGGUGUGUGAAAGUCUCUACGAAUCAGAACGGGAAAAAGACACCAAGAGGAAGCUGGCGGGAGGCAUGAAGGGCACGUCUCAGCAGAGAAACACGGUCUGUCAGGGACGCGCGAGACCCACCCCCCAGCCUCACGCGCCCCGUCUGGGCGUCGGGCAGGACGGGCUUCCCGGGGUCCGGCCAGCGCUGGCCCGGAGAGCAAGAGCCGCCGGCCCCACAGCUGCACGCGGGGCCAGAGGGGCCGCCUCCUCGCGGUGCCUCCGUGUCCUCAGCUGCCCUUCCCAGGAAGCCGUCCAGUUAGAGCCGCGUGGUGGUCCGACUCCGAGGGACAAGCUGGGAUUCAGACGGACGGAGCUGGGGCUUGGCCAUCGCUCGGGAGCUCAGGCUCCUCCCACAGCAGAACAGAAGCUCCCGGCUGAGGGGCACCCGACCCGUCGCUCUGUGGCCCCUUCUGUGUGUGAUGGUUUCAUGCUUUCUGUCUGAGGGAAACAGAGGAUGUGUUGCAUUUGCCUUUUACCCCCCAAGACAUUUCUCAAACACUGGCUUCUCUGAGCCGAGUCUGGAUACGCGGUGCAGGCUGAUGUGGAAAACCCAGCGAACCCAGAUCCUCCUCAGGGUCUGUGGGACGGGAGGACGGGACCUCAGCAGGCCGCAGCUGGCCCUCCCCAUGGCGUCCUGCCUUGCUUGCCUGAGGAAGCGGUGGAGACGGCCAGGGCUCAGGGCUGGGGUGAUCACCCCCGCCCCGGGCAAGCUGAGGAUCAGAGGUGGGGCCCAUCCUAAGCUGAGCCAGCCUGAGCCCCCGAUGCUCCCCUGUGUCCACUCUGCAUCUGCAGGGUCAGCGCUGGUGGCAUAGGUGGAGGAGAAGCAGCUGACGAGCUGACAAGCCACGUCUCCAGGCUGAGGCGCUGGAGUCGGAGGAGCCCAGACCGGCCCCACGGGGACGAGCCAGAAGCUGGGACCCUCGUAGAGCUGCGAGCCGCAGGCUGAGGGCCCAGCCUCCUGAUCAGGCCCCUCUGCCGAGGGGUCCCGGAGAAGCUAUGGUGCAUCUGUCUGAGCUCCAGGCAGCAGGGACGCAGACCAGGCACCUCCCCUCCCCGUCCUGUUGAGCACCCCAGCCCUGGACAAGGGAGGCCCGGCUCAGACCACAGCUGACUGCAGCCUGGACGUGCAGGUGCCGAGAGCUGCCAGGCCCUCUCAUCGGGGACAAAGUGGGAACACACCAGACCCAUCCAGGGACACAUGGCAAAGCCAGUGAGAGCAGAGGGAAAAAUCAGAAAAGGGGUGAAGAGGCCCCUCCCCCUGUGAGCUGACGCUGACACUGAGCGUAGAGGGUAGACACUGACCUGUCACUCGUGCAUGUCAGACCCAAACACGCAGCGUCUCUUUCAUUUCUCACAGAAGUUCUGAGGGGUCGGUGCAUUGCUACCCAGACAAGCCAGUGCCAUCAGAGACCCCACGGUGGGGAGCAGCAGAGCCACAACCUCUCAGGGUGUGACCCCAGGAAUGCUCGGCCCUGCUUGAGGCUCAGAGUCCAGCUCUCUCUGGACGGAGCCAUCUCCUGCAGCGGCGCUGAGAGGAGAGCCAGGAGUGAUCACAGGUCAGCGGGGGAGGGGUUCGAGACCCCUCUGCCCACCCCCAAGCCCCAGAGCUCUGAAGGCACCUGCCACCCUGGAAAUAGGUCAGUGUUGGUGCUGAAUAAAAACUCGCUAACGCGGGAGGCCUCUCUGCCCCUCUCCCCGACCCCGGCCUGGCCAACGCUGGCUUUCCUGGUUUCCUCGGGGAGCACGGCCACGGCCUCUGGCCACGAUACAAACGAUGCCCCAUUAUUCUCUCCCUGCAAGUGACUCGUUAGGAUUUCUGACCAGCAGGCUUCACGUCUACCACGAGUCCCCGGGGUCAGCACAGCGUCUGCAGGUCACGGGGGCUCAGUGACCACGGAGUGACAGUGACACAAGGAGGAAGGAAGCAAUGGAGAGAAUUUCCCCAAACCAAACCCUGCCGAGUCCGGGGGUGGAAAGUUAACCCCCCUCCGCUCUCUGACUCUUGGGGAGAGAGACGUGACAGCCGAGAUGUCAGCAAGAAUGUGCCCGUUGGGGACCUGGGGCCUGGGGAGCACCUGCUCCUGUCGGAAAAGCAGCAACAGGUGCUGAGGGACGGCACCUCCCUGCAGGGACCGUCACAGCUGAGAGCAACUUAGAUUUGCUCUGUGACGCAGAACUUCUGCACGAGCAUAAAAAUAACCAGCUCAAUGGAGAAAGAUCUAGUUUCUUGGGGAUCACGGCAGCUGCAGUUUGAAGUCGUGGGCUGCGAGCUGCUGGAGAGCAGGGCCUUCGAGGGUCUCGGCUGGACCAGGCUCGGGGGCCGCCCAGUCCAGCUCUGAGCAUGAAGCCUGGGGAGCCCUGGUCUGGCCGAGACCAGGCCUGGACUGACCAGGUUUCAAGCAGCGAACACCUGGGGCUGCACCCCCAGUGGCCCCGUUGGUCACUCAGUGGUGACGGGAAGGGGCAGCGGCUGACGAGCAUCCGGAGCUCGGCCCUCUCAGCAGCCCAGGAGGCACUACUGCUCCCCUCUCGGCCUCAUCAAUAUGGACGUUUGCCCCGGGCAGUGUCUCGCCCCAGGCCUGGGUGACCAGGGACACAGAAUGCCGGUGGAAAAAUAAGUUAAUGAGCUUCUGCUGGGGGCAGGGGUAGCAGGGGGAUCGUCCAGGCAGAGCCGUGCGCUGUCCUGGGAGGUGGCCGGGGCAGUGCCAGCUCACCGCGUGGCCCAGGGUGCCCACCAGGAGGUGCCACAUGAGCCUCUGGCUCCGGCCUGGCUGUGCCCAGCGUGCAGAGGACAGACCUAGUGCAUGUGAGCAAGUAUGUGUGUGCUGUGUGCACGUGCAGGUGGGUGUGGACGCGCGUGUGAUUGUGGCGUGUCUGUGUGGCCUUGUUGAUUGUGGCAUGUGUGUUCACGCGUGUGUCAGUAUGUUGCACGUUUCUGCUGCAGGAAACCGUAGUGUCGGCCUCUGAUCUCUGGUUCCAGGCUGACCACUCACCUCACUCCUUCGGCUCCUCAUCUGAGCUGCGGGGAGAGCAGCGCUGUCUGGACCCCCUCCACACCAUGAGGAGGGAAGGGACGGGUGGGCAGCGCCUGGCUGUGUGCAAAGCCACGAGGCCUUAAGGUCACGCUCGGGGCAGCUGGCGCCCAGCAGAGGAGCCCCUCUUCGAGGCCACUUCCGAGCUGGGCCCAGAGGCUGUAAUUGUGGCCUGAGGUUCCUCACGCUCCCUCGGCCUCUGUUCGGUCAGGCGUCCAGGCAGCUUCCCCUCCCAGCCUGUCCGGCAGCUCUCUCUUGGGACAGCACACCCCAGAGCCUGAGAGCUGGCUGUGUCCACACGCACACCCGCUCCCGUCCGGCCGCCUCUGCCCGGCUUCAUCCUUCAGCCCUGUUCCCCUCACAUCCGUGGUCCAUGCCCCUCUGAGCUCAGCCUUGGCUCCGGUUCCCUCUCGGGGCCCCUUCUCCGUCACUAGCAUUUUCUCUUUCUCUCCUCCUCUUACGCUUUGCUACAUCCUCAUGCAAAAUUAAGCCCCAAACGAUUUCAGCUGCUCCUGACCCCGAGACAAGUUUUAAAAUAGCAGCAGGAUCACCACCCGCUUCCCCACUGAGGGCCGUAAGGGACGCUGGCGGUUCCGAAUGCAUUUUCCAUUUGCAGACUUGCUAAUGCAGAUCCCACAGGGAAAAGGAAACUGCUGUUCUAUUUCAAAAUCCCUGAUGGGUUUCCUUCCCGUUAGAAGGGUCUGAGGAAGCCGCACAGACCCCUGCUUGCUUCUGCCCCUCGCGUUGAAAUCAAACCUGUAAAUCUCCUCUGUUGCCGGCACGGAUCAAGCCAAAAUCACAGUAUAAAUGAUGAUGGUGGGAAAGGAGAUGCUCUCAGGAAGGAUGGGGUGGGGUGCUGAGUCGUCAACGACGCGUUGAUCGGGGAGAAGGAACUGAUCUGGGGCAAGUCAGUCCUGUGGAAAUCUCGCCUCAGCUCACUUCCUGCCAAGUCCCUGCUCUCGUCCUGCAGGGAGUGCGGGGGGCUCCACUCAACAUCAGACUUGCCCUCACCGUACUGAGCAGUUCCCAGGAAAACGGGAGUGUGUCUCUCUCACCGUGACGCCCUCUCUCGCCUCCUCAAUCCCCUCGUCUGGGCUCCCUGGACGGCUCUGCUUGGCACAGACCUUUGGUCUCAGAGUCCCGGAAGUCGGUGUGAAACAAGACGGAGAAAGACGCAGGGCCUGACCCUCUCCUCAGCCUGUUCCUCUGGAGCCGCCACGAGGUCCUGGACCAUUUGGGUGGGAGGGCUGCCCGGGCGCAGGCUCAGGGCAGGGUCCACGAGAGCCUGGGGGCGGCCAGGGCUUGGGCAGCCGUGGAGACUUGUCUGUGCAAAUGCCCUGCCGAGGGGCGAGCGGGAAGGCGUCCUGGGCAGGGCUGGAGGGUGGAAGCUGGGGAAAUGAGCUAAAGGUGUGGUGGAGACGGAGGCACGAGUGGGAGCAGGAGAGGGCACGGGGCUGCACGGGGCCAGGAGGCCCAGGGCAGAGCAGGACAGAGCGCGAGCGGACGGCCUACGUUCCCCACACUGGUGCCGGCACAGCCUCCCAGGCAGGUCUCAGACCCUGUGUGCAGCUCUCCGUCUUCUUCAGUGAUGUCCAGUCUGGGCAGCUCCUCCUUCUCAAGCCUUCCCAGCAAGUGCACACGCAUUCUCACCACCCCCGUGACACAGAGGAGGGGAGAACGCCGUCGCCCUCUACCAGAUGGAGAGAGCCCUGCUCGAGGUGGUGAACGGCUCAGACCGAGGCGGGUGCAUCCAGCCCAGAGGCCCCCCACUGGUGAGGACCGGGGAGCGUCAGGCCGCCCCCACGGUGCCCACACUUGCACCGAAGCGUCUUUGCUGAGUCGGAAGGCACCUCAGGCCUCCCCAGCCCUGGAGCUGCCCUCCAGAGCCCGUCCCCAGGGAGCAGGGACGUGGGGGGAUCCGCCUUCCUGGGACGGCCCCAAGCCCAGCCGCUGCCGCGUGUUGGGAAGUUCCAGAAGCAUCCGUCCUGCUUGGAUCCUCCAGGAUUCAUUCUCCCUUGUGGCGUCUGACUCCCCCUCAUGUGGCCCAUCUCCUCUUCUAGCCUCGAAGCCCCUGUCAGGGACGUCCCCAGGCUCACUCCCUUGGGUAUUAACCCUGUGUCUUUGCCGUGUUUGGCGACUGCUGGGCUCAGCUGUGUGUGUCCCGGAGGGCACAGCACGUCUGCCUCACACUCACAACCGCCUGAGUCUGACCCGCAGCCUGGACCCCAGCGGGCCUGCGAGGCUGGGGGCCACCCCGCCCCAGAGCCCACACCAGAGGCGGGUCAGGCCUGGGUGAGUGACGUCGGCCUUCAGAGCUCCAGGCUCCUCGUCUGCUCCAGGGGGCGAGGGCAGCGGCUUCCUGAGGCCGGAGGGGGCAGGUCAUACUGUAUUAGUUGACAGAAAGUGUCUGCGCAGUCAGCUCCCGUGAGUACCCAGGGAGCGGCACUAAAUAAAUGUCAUGGAGCCGAGCUCUCAAUCAGGUCAGGCUGUGGGCAGGGCAUGGCCUUCCGUCCUGAGGGGACCUCCAGCUCCUUCCCGCCCGCACCUGGGUGACCUGGAGGAUCUGUGUUCCCUGCCACCGCCCCCACCUCUCAGGCUUCUGCAGGCUGGUUUCGAGGUGAAGAGGAAGCUGCAGUUUCUCUGGGAUGCAGAGGAGGAAGACAGAGCGCAGGACGAGCUUGCUCCAGACCUGCUUCCCUGGAGGCUGUCAGUGGCAGGUGCCCUGGGCAGGGACAGGCCAUGGAUAGAGGAGGACAACCCACGUGGAGUGGGUGGAACCACACACCUGCUCUCAGGGCUGUGGGUUUGCACCCAGCCCAGAGCAUUUCUGGGAGACUAAAGGGCCCCCAGGAACCACCCGCGGGCUUUCUCAUCUCCUUGAGAAUGACCUUCAGAUUCCAGUGUCAGCUGCUCAGACCUGACACCUUGGGAAGGUGGUCUCUGCUGGGCGAUCUCAUGGGCUUAGGGACCCUCUGUUCCCAACAGGCCAGAGGUGACACGACCCUCCUGGGGUCUGUGGCAGGUGUAUGUGACCACAUCUGCCUGUACCUACGCUGUGCACGUGUGCGAGAAGGGAGAUGGGCGUGUACAGAAAUUGUCAGCUUCUGUGAGCUGUGAGUACAUGGCAUGCGAGCCUGGUUGCCUCCAUCAAGGUGGGGGAUGGUGUCCUGCUGACUGGUGACCACUGGCUGUACCCCCAGUGCCUAGAACAAACCCAGCCAGCAGCCUCUCAGACAGUGUUCCCGAUGGAUGAAAGAUGGUUAAACAUUAAGAUUCCCGGUGGAAGCCUGUCUCCUCCCUCUGUUCUUGAAAUCCCCGAGUCAGUCCUGUUUCUGAUCAUAUUUUGCUUAAAAAUCAGCCCUUAGCAGUUUGGAAGCUUCCGGGCGCCCGUAACGGCGUGUCUGGUCACUGCUGGUGUGGGUCAUGACGAGAAGUCUGACAGGACGUUGGGAGGUGAGGGACCAAGGUGUGGUCAGCUGUUCAGCUCUGGCCGUGGAGUGCGCCAUCCUCCCAGCCUCACUGCCCAACACAGCAGCCUCCCAGCGGGGGCAGGAGGGAGAGCGCCCCGCGUCCUCUCUUACAGGGCAGGCAGCUCUUCCAGAGUCCCUCCCGCCACGGCCAUCCCUUGACCUCUGGUUGGGCAGCGUGCUUGCCCUGGACGUCACGUCAUCCAAGGGUCAAUGUGUGUAAGCCUGCUCCCCGCUGGAACGUGAGCUGCAGAAAGGCCACCGCUGACAAUCUGCUGCUAGAAAAAGCACGGGGAGCGUGGCUGGUGCUCGGUAAACACGUGCCGGGCGGGCGAGUGGAAUGAAUGAACAAAUGAUCAUCACUUUUCAGUCACAACCGAGUUCUUGUCCGGGAGCAGCCCCGCCCAGCCCCGUCCUGCAGACUCAGGGUGUCCACUCUCUCCCCGUAACGUGGGGCCAAGUCAGGGUCUCAGUGGGGACCCUGCGGUGCCCACCAAACUCAGCACCCUGGUGAAGGCCCGUCCACCUGGCAUGGACGUUGUUCCCACGGCCCUUUCUCUCGCACAACCAUCGUUUUAAGCUCGGAGGCAGCAGCUCCGUGAGGGGCCUCCAGGCGAACACCCUCCAGAAAAGUCAGGCUCUUCUCUGACCAGGAAAACACGCUCCAUUUCCUCCCCCCUAAGAAUUCUGGGUUUAGUAGAAUGUUUGUAGUUUUUAAUUGGCCUCCAAUUUUAAGCAACGACUCUGCCCUUAAAACAGCUGUAUUUUAUGUCAUUUGUUACAGGACGCAUGUCGGUGGAAUGGCGCCCACCGCAGGGGUGAAACCUCUGCUCGGCUCAUCAGAACCGUGGUGUCCAUAAAUGGUUUAUCCACACGUGUCCUUUUCAGAGGGAACAGCCUGUUAACAUCACGCAGUCGAACCGUGUGAACGUGAGGGGCCUCAGCUGUCGGCAGAGGACGGCAGAGGCUCUGCAGGUGCUCUGGGCGUGGGAAUGGCCUCGCCCUUCCCUGAGCAGGUCUGGCUGGAAUCCCACCACAUGUGCGCAGCUGGCCCGUGGCUCCAGGCCUCAGGACCUGCAAGCAGGAGGCUGUAAUAGAAGAAAGAGAUGCCUGAUCCCAGCGAAGCUACCCUGUGACGUUUAGUCUUCCUGCCUCCUCGGGCUCGUCUUGGCUGUGACAGUUUCUCAGACGUUAUUUUCUACGAUCUGGAUGGUGCUGAGGAGCGGUGCUCAGUCUCUGCCUAACCCCUUGGCUGUGAGGAGAGGAGAAGGAAGAGUGAAGAUUCUUUUAGUCUGGAAGCCUGCCUGUGGCUGGGCGGCAGCUCGACUGACGGGGCAGAGAAUUGCUGAUUCGGUGGACAGAACAAGGGUCACGCUUCACUGAGACACACAGAGCUGCACGGGGGAGGCCAGGCCAGGCCAGAUAUCCAUCCUGAACGCCCUCCCCCUGCCCUCCCUCCAGCUCCGCCUAUGGCUCAGCUCUACCGCUGUCAUCCCACUGCAGCAAGGGAGACACGCACAAGAGUCAGUCCCUUCCACUGGACAAACCAGCUUGGAGCUGUUUGCUGAGCAGAAUGAACAGAGGAGGCAGAGCAGUUGUGUUCUGACACAUGGUGGGCCUGGGGGCAGCCUUCCGAGG
rnacentral:lncRNA from 1 species